rnacentral:rRNA from 1 species
CACAGGUGCUGCAUGGCUGUCGUCAGCUCGUGUCGUGAGAUGUUGGGUUAAGUCCCGCAACGAGCGCAACCCUUGUCAUUAGUUGCCAUCAUUUAGUUGGGCACUCUAAUGAGACUGCCGGUGACAAACCGGAGGAAGGUGGGGAUGACGUCAAGUCCUCAUGGCCCUUAUGGGUAGGGCUUCACACGUCAUACAAUGGUCGGUACAAAGGGCAGCGACACAGCGAUGUGAAGCGAAUCCCGAAAAGCCGGUCUCAGUCCGGAUUGGAGUCUGCAACUCGACUCCAUGAAGUUGGAAUCGCUAGUAAUCGCGGAUCAGCACGCCCGCGGUCGAAUACGUUCCGGGCCUU